GGGCCCGUAGCCGAGCUUGGAUAAGGCACCGGCCUCCGGAGCCGGAGAACAUGGGUUCGAGUCCCAUCGGGCCCGCCA
rnacentral:tRNA from 1 species